AGAGUUUGAUCAUGGCUCAGAACGUACGCUGGCGGCACGCCUAAUACAUGCAAGUCGAACGAAGUAGCAAUACUUAGUGGCAGACGGGUGAGUAACAUGUAGGUAUCUUCCCAUUGGUGAGGAAUAACACGAGGAAACUUGUGCUAAUACCUCAUAAGUCUUUACGGAGAAAGCUUUAUGCGCCGAUGGAUGAGCCUGCACUUGAUUAGUUUGUUGGUAGGGUAAUGGCCUACCAAGACAAUGAUCAAUAGCUGAUUUGAGAGGAUGAUCAGCCACAUUGGGACUGAGACACGGCCCAAACUCCUACGGGAGGCAGCAGUAGGGAAUCUUGCACAAUGGGGGAAACCCUGAUGCAGCGAUGCCGCGUGAGUGAAGAAGGCCUUUGGGUUGUAAAGCUCUUUCGUCGGGGAAGAAAAUGACUGUACCCGAAUAAGAAGGUCCGGCUAACUUCGUGCCAGCAGCCGCGGUAAUACGAAGGGACCUAGCGUAGUUCGGAAUUACUGGGCUUAAAGAGUUCGUAGGUGGUUAAAAAAGUUGGUGGUGAAAUCCCAGAGCUUAACUCUGGAACUGCCAUCAAAACUUUUUAGCUAGAGUAUGAUAGAGGAAAGCAGAAUUUCUAGUGUAGAGGUGAAAUUCGUAGAUAUUAGAAAGAAUACCAAUUGCGAAGGCAGCUUUCUGGAUCAUUACUGACACUGAGGAACGAAAGCAUGGGUAGCGAAGAGGAUUAGAUACCCUCGUAGUCCAUGCCGUAAACGAUGUGUGUUAGACGUUGGAAAUUUAUUUUCAGUGUCGCAGCGAAAGCAUUAAACACACCGCCUGGGGAGUACGACCGCAAGGUUAAAACUCAAAUGAAUUGACGGGGACCCGCACAAGUAGUGGAGCAUGUGGUUUAAUUCGAAGAUACGCGCAGAACCUUACCAACACUUGACAUGUUCGUCGCGACUUUAAGAGAUUAAAGUUUUCGGUUCGGCCGGACGAAACACAGGUGCUGCAUGGCUGUCGUCAGCUCGUGUCGUGAGAUGUUGGGUUAAGUCCCGCAACGAGCGCAACCCUCACUUUUAGUUGCCAUCAUUAAGUUGGGCACUCUGAAAGAACUGCCAGUGAUAAGCUGGAGGAAGGUGGGGAUGACGUCAAGUCCUCAUGGCCCUUACGUGUUGGGCUACACACGUGCUACAAUGGCAUUUACAAUAGGAAGCAAGAUGGCGACAUCAAGCAAAUCCUAAAAAGAUGCCUCAGUUCGGAUUGUACUCUGCAACUCGAGUACAUGAAGCUGGAAUUACUAGUAAUCGCGGAUCAGCGCGCCGCGGUGAAUACGUUCCCGGGUCUUGUACACACCGCCCGUCACACCAUGGGAGUUGGUUCUACCUUAAGGCAAGGUUUAAAACCCUUGACCACGGUAUAGUCAGCGACUGGGGUGAAGUCGUAACAAGGUAACCGUA
rnacentral:rRNA from 1 species